GCUCGUAGUUGGAUUUCUGGCGGGAGCGGGUGGUCCGGCACUUUGUGUUGGUACUUUCCUGUCUCUUGCCAUCCUUGGGUCUAAGCUGUCUGGCAUUUAGUUGUCGGGCAGUGGCUGCCCAUCGUUUACUGUGAAAAAAUUAGAGUGUUCAAAGCAGGCUUAUGCCGUUGAAUAUAUUAGCAUGGAAUAAUAAGAUAGGACCUUGGUACUAUUUUGUUGGUUUGCGCACCGAGGUAAUGAUUAAGAGGGACAGUUGGGGGUAUUCGUAUUCAAUUGUCAGAGGUGAAAUUCUUGGAUUUCUGGAAGACGAACUACUGCGAAAGCAUUUACCAAGGAUGUUUUCAUUAAUCAAGAACGAAAGUUAGGGGAUCGAAGAUGAUUAGAUACCAUCGUAGUCUUAACCAUAAACUAUGCCGACUAGGGAUUUGUGGGUGUUAUUUUUGACCCC
rnacentral:rRNA from 1 species